CUACCGCACACCACCCACUUCCCCCGAUCCCCUCCUGGAUCAGGAUCAAGCCCAAACGCGCCCCCGACCCCGCCGAUGCCGCGUGCCACCCCGCCGCACCUCGUCGGCGCCUCGGUGCCCACUGCCAUUGCCGGACCUCCCGCGCCUCUCCCUCGUGGGAUCGACCGUGCCGCUCGACCCCCCUGCGAACCAUCGCCGGACGCCAUCGCCGCGGUCCUCUCCAUCACCGGCGCUCCCCGUCCCCGUCGCCGAUGCCACCUCGCCGGACUGCUUCCCCUGCGUCGCCGUCAUCCCCGACCUCCUCCCCGCGCCCCACUGCCAUAUCCCUACGGCCCCCCACGUUGGAGCCCAAGAUCCAGACGCCACCGUCGAUGAUGUCUAUUACACUGGAGGAGCCUACUACUACGUGCAGGCCGCUGACGACGACCAGGAGUAGUUAGGUGGAUCCCAGGCGGGAGGCCUGCGCCUCUUUCGAUCUGUAUCCCAGUUUGUGCUAGCCAUCUUAUGGCAACUUGUUAACUUAUGUCUGUGCUCAGAUAUUGUUGCUUUCGCUGACUCGUUUAUGUCCGAGCACUUGUAUUCGAGCCCUCGAGGCCCCUGGCUUGUAAUAUGAUACUUUUAUGUCUUCUUUUACUUUUA